AGAGAGAGGGCGCCGCGAUGGAUGAAUGAGCUGUUUCCAGCAUUCCUGUGCGUCUGCUGGUUGUAGCUGCAGUCAAGAUUUGGGGCGGUCUCGUUUGUUGUGGGUGGGUGAUCUGGGAUCACGAUUUUCUCACUCUGUGCCCGGAAAUCAUGCCAUCUCUCGCCCAACGCUGUAUUUUAUAGGCUUCAACUCAAAAUUUUCCUUCAUGGCACAGUGGAAAGCUUUGAAGACGGCGGUUCUGGGGCUGAAUAUGAAGGCAACUCGGACUAAGAAGACGACUGCUUUCCAACUGCCCUCCCGUCCUGCAGCCGCCUGAUUUGAGGAAGGGGCUGGGAUCCUUCCCCUUGCCCUCUGGUUGUUCUUGGAGUUACAGCAGCCCCGCGGCAGCUCUGCCCCCUAGUGCACAUGUGAGGCAGCGCGCCCUUCUCCAAUCCAGAAGCCUCGUCGCGGUGCUGCCAGCAAGGGAGUUUUUCUGUAUUCACUUUGGUGGAAAUAGCAAAACUUGACAGAAAAAAAACCCAAGCCAAACCAAAACACACGAACCAUUCUAGCCUUUUCUCUCUUUCGUUUCUUUCUGAGGAUCUGGCCGAUUUGGAUGCAGAAAACAUGCCUGUUGCUUCUGCUGCGAAA
rnacentral:lncRNA from 1 species